rnacentral:tRNA from 1 species
GGGCGGUUAGCUCAGUUGGUUAGAGUACUACCUUGACAUGGUAGGGGUCACAGGUUCGAAUCCUGUAUCGCCCA